rnacentral:lncRNA from 1 species
AAUUGUUAAAACCCGCUGCGGGUGGGUUUUUGUAAAAAAAUUAAAACCCGCUGCGGGUUGCGGGUGGGUUUGGUAAUUUAAAUUUUGUGCGGGUUUGGGUUUGGUAAUGGCAAACCCGCUGCGGGCGGUGCCCAUUGCCAUCCCUAGAAGUGAUAACGACAUUUCAGCAAAGUAAUUCAACAAAGUACGCCUAAUUAGAUUAAUUGAACCGGUUUAUUUUGUGGGCUCGAUUGCUUGGCCCACAAAAACCCAUUUGACAAAACUCUGGUCUAUGUGGGCCGGGAGCUCAAUUUCCAAGUCAGCUCAUAUGAGAUUGUACAUUCAAUAAACUCUGAUGUUACUUUUAUUUAUUUAAUUAUUUCUUUUUUCCAAAAAAUAAAAAAUACAUCUUUCAUUACAUCCUAACAGAUUAUCAUAAAAAUUAAAAUUUCAAAAUUUAAUGGUGAGUUUAAAUAAUUAUACUAUUUUGAAAAAUAAAAAUAUACAAAUUAAAUUUUUUAGGUGCGAAUAACCCUAUCCUUUAUGAAAAUAGCCUACCUACUAAUUUUUCCUUACUUUGAUAGCAGAAAAAUAAGCAAUUAAGCAUCCUAAUUUCUAAACAUAACUGCAUAUAAGUAAUCUAUCACUUAAAGAUAAUGACGGAAAAUAAUUCAGCACUCAAUUCGUAAGUGAGUCAAAAGGAGAGGAAAGUGACUUGUUGCCAAUUUUUUUUUCGUUCUUAGGUAGGUAAUACGUCGGCAAUUGUUGGGUCGAUACGCAGAAUGUUGCGAAAUUACCCGACAGUAAACUUAAUUGGUGCUAACCUGACGACAAGUGUGUUAGGCUCUAGAAGCAAAAGUAGGUAGCCAUAUUACGCACUCGAUAUACAUUGAAUAGAUUCAAUGUACAAUCUUUGAAACUUGUUGCCACAAAAUCUUUCUCAAAGCUUCUUAAAAUUUAUAAAGCUUGCCUCUUUGAUCGAAACACUUUGACACGUGCAUGCUAGUUCUAUUUUGCUUCAUGUAAUCUUCGUAUUUUAUUUGAUUUGGGUUGCCAUCUACAAACCGGUGGGGUUUGUUAGGCGUUUAAUUUGUUGUCGUUUUUGGGAGAUGUUCUAGGAGAGGUGCUGUUAACCAAGAUAAUUUAUUAGAUUUGGGUUGCCAAUUUCGUGUGGACUCUCUCUCUUUUUUUUUUAAUAAAUUUUUGUCUCUUUUAAGUGUAUAUACAAUCUUUGUUAAAAAGGAAAGAAAAUGAGUGUAUAUUUGAUUUCCAGCAUCUGUAAAAAAUUAUUUUACAACACUAACCAAAGGUCUAUCCUUGUUAUUAUUCAAGGAAAUUAAUUAUUGAAGAAAAGAGAUUUUGAAAACAAGUUUUUGUUUCGAACAAAAAUAUUAGGAAUGUAGUAAAAGUUUUUACUAAUGUUCUAAAAGUUUUUUUUAAAUAUGAUCUCUAUUAGCCUAUUUUUGUUGAUAAUGUGUUGUUGAAAAAAGUUUUGGGCAUGAGUAAGGAGUUUUAAAGUGUUUUUGUCGGCAUGAUUUUAGAAUCAGUUUGAUAAGCUUUCAAAAGUUAAUUUUUACCAGGGCAACUGUUUAUUUCAAAAAUUUAUUGGGAUUUUCGAUGGUUAACUCGAAUGGGAAUUACAUAAGUUUAUAUUGUUGGUCUAACAAGCCAAGUAAAAGUCAUCCACUCCUCUUUAAAAUAACUCUUUUCUCUUUCGUGGUAUCAUAGUACAUCUUUGUUUUUGUUUGAAAUAUAUUUUAUAUAAGUAGUUAUGAGACAAAUUUUGUUUAGUUCAUGACAUAUUUUCGUAAUUGAUAAAUUUGAUGAUAAUCUUAAUAGUUUUUAUAAAGAUCCAUAUGUUGUUUUAGAAAAAGAUUAUGAUCUUGGAUACAAAAUAAUCCUUGUAUAAAAAUAUUAGAACAUACUUUUAUCGUAGAAUUUGAAUUAGCAAAUAUUAAUACAAAACAUUCAAUUUUAGAAUUAUAUGUAUUAAUAAAUAGAGUUGAAAGAUUAAAUUUAAAUAGCCCAAUUUUAGUACCUAAAAAAGUAGACAUAAAAGAUAUUUUAAGACCUAAAAUAAUAUUAAAAGGUAAUGAAACUAAUAAGAAAUAGCCGUAUAGAUGUUAUUAUAGCAGAAAAAUAGAAAAUCAGUGUCAUCUUUAAGUAAAGGUAAAGAAAUUAUGGAAAAGACAAAAUAUAUGAUAGAUGAAGAAGAACCAAGUAGAUUAUUAAAAAAAGGUUUUAACCAAACCGAUUUAUUUCUUCAUUACAUUUCUCUCACUCUAUCUUUAAUUGAUUACCAAAAUUUUAUUAAGACACGUGUCUUAAUUAACCUUAUUCAAUUAUUGCAUCUCUAAUGAUAAUUUCCUAAUUGCAAUUUAGCUACUAUAUAAAUAAUGACAUCAAUCCUUAUCCUUAAUAUCGCAAUUCCGCUGACCCCAAGGUACUUACUUAGACGCAUACGUAGAUAAUUGCGAGAGAUACGCAGUCGAUGUUAUAUGAUAACAACAACGGUAUAUCGCCUGAUAUCUUACUCUCCAAUAAUAUCUCCACACGUGUCAUAAGAUUGGACCUAAUUGUCUUGAUAAUGACUUUGUUAUCUUAUCUACUAGACCUUGUUAGCUCGAAACUCUGUUUCACGUGAUCUUAAUAAUUUAACCACCAUCUUUUCAUAAUUUUUAGUGAAUCAUUUUGUUGAAAUAGAUUCUCUCACUUUACAAUCAUCCUACAAAAUAUCUUCGUUACAACUGCCAUGUGUCACAACCUUAAGCCAAUGCUAAAAAAUAUCUUCGUCCUUGCAUAAUAUUUUAAUCGCGAGAAUUAUAAAGUACAUGCUGACCAAAAAUUUGACACGUGUCCUUGACAGGUAGGCCACUUUCCUUUCUCUGUACUUUUCUUUUCUGUUUUCACUUGAUUUGUUUUCAAUUAAGUAAAGUACUUUCUUUCCGCGAUGCCUUCAAAGGCUGAUUACAAAAAUGAGCCUAUAACAGUUGAGAUUUACAAGAACUAGACGCGACGUUAGGAAAUUGGAUACGUGUUCCCUCUCAAUUUGCGGGAAAAGACACGUACAAAGACCUAAUAUUUGAGUGAUUGUGGGUGAUUCUGCGUGGUCAAAUAGUAGACUGCUACGUGUCCCAGUAGGUUCGUCCAAUGUUUUUUUUUUAUUUUUCACGUUUGGCGCCGUUAGUUUUCGAAACAGGACUACACUUGAUGGCUUGGCUUAAGCCGCUCGGCUCUUUGAGCCAUUCAGGAAUACAUUAAUGAACAGAGAAAUUAUUUAUAAUUGCACAUUUAUAUUCAAUUAAAAAAACGAAAAAAAUUAUUAAUUUAUGAUUGAUGUCAUUUUUAGAAAGUAGUCAUACAUAAUUUUUGAACGAAGUUAAAAAUACUAAAAAAAAAAGGUAUAUUAACUUACAAAAUGCCUACCAAACAUCAAGUAAAAUAACAUAAUUUUUGUCCAAUUUUAUAUUUUUACAUAUCAUUUAACACUAACUUAAAAAUAUCAAAUCAACUGUUAAUUCAUUUCUUAGAGAUUGAAUUAUUAUAUUCAAU